AAGUCACACAAAUUUAAGAAUCGAAUGGUUAAACAAGAAGCUUAGAUCAGUAAAGCAUGUUGUGUCUGGCCAUGUCCUUCUCUGUUCUCCAUGAAAAACUGCCCUGCCUUGAGAGAGCUCCUGGACCAAGCUGCUUUUCUCUGCUCUUCCUCUUACACUGAGAUUUUAAAUAAAGUCGCUGACUGCAACAAGUGGUGCACGUAGUGUGAGGAAAGACUGCUGCUGCGAAUCAGUGUGGAGGGCUGGCCUGUCAAGCCUGGGAAAGGAGCAAGGAGUCAUCCACUCUUCAUCCUGGGAAGGGAACAUAGGCAUCUGACAAAUUGUGAUGUAAGCUUAAGGGAAGCUUAAGCUUCAGGUUUAUCAACCCAGAAGAUUUUUAACUGUCCAGUUGCUAAGUGACAAGAGCACUGACUCAAGGUUAUGUGAAAGUCUCCUGUCAGCCAGUCAAGUUUGAAAGUGGAACAGUCUGAGACCAAAGGAAAAACAAUGACAAGACACUUUAAAAUCCAAGCAACUGCAGCCAAGUUUGUUAUUUUAAAAAGUUUAUAGUAAGUAGGAUACAGAAAAAUAUACAAAGGAAGUUAUAAGAUAUCCUUUUGAUAUGAAAGGAUUUUGUAUGAUAAAAGUUUUGCUUUGCUAGAAAGAGAGAUACAGUUAGAACUGGAAAGCUCAAGUAUGUUGAUGAAAAGCUUGUGGAGGAUGCAGUUUAUAAAAUAAAUAUGUGUUUGCUUGUUGGUUUGGUGGAGCUCAGACUAUUUCUUCUGAAAGCUCCUUGUUUCUCAAGAAAGAUGAGGGGCUCCAGCCUUAACUCUCAUUGGUUGGUCCUCCUCAUGUCUCAGCUCCCCUCUCUGGCUGACACAGGCUGCAACUGUCAUUGUUACAAUUAAUAGUGAACAUGAGCUUUUCUGCAAGACUAGCAGAGGCAUCCAGACAGAUCUAUGACAAAAAACAAGGCAAAGCUGCCUCCUGGGGCAGUUUCAACCUAAUUUGUGACACUCAUUAUUGCUAGCUUCAUGAUGUAUUAAGUAUAUUAAAUAUUGUUUCCCAAGUGCACAGGUCUUCAAAGACACAGAUAGUUUUUCAAGGCUUAUCCUUAAAUGAUUCUUACAUAUAUGUUAAAUAUUUAUGCUACAAUACUUUAAAAAGGCUCAAACAUUAUAUGGUCUAACAAUAUCACAUAAAAUACAUCUCUGAAUAGAUGCAUUCUUUUUAGGUGACAUUUUAUUGAAAGAUUACAAGUCUGGGUAAAAUUUCUUCAUAUCAUUUUAUAUAAUAAUGUCAUCCUGAUUGUUGUGAUAAUGUGUUUUGUUGUCCUUGAUCUCAAGUUUUCUCUAUAAACUUUAUAAUUGCUGCCUGUUAACAGUUUAACUACUAAGAUAAUCUUGAUUGAUUAAAAAA